CCUGUUCCCAUACCGAACACAGAAGUUAAGCUUUCUCACGCCGAAAGUACUUGUCGGGUCACUGACCGGGAGGAUAGGUAAUUGCCACUU
rnacentral:rRNA from 1 species